CAGUGAACAAGCAACCAAACCAGCGUGCCUGAGUGCAGAGUUGGAUGGUGAGCCGUGCAUUGCAUGACGUGCAAUUUUGUGCUGUUCCUAUCAGGUACAUUGUUAAAGAUAUUAUAUUGUAUAUUGUAAUUGUAUUAUUUUGGUAACUACAUUGCCCAGUGAACAAGCAUCAAACCAGCGUGCGCGAGUGCAGAGUUGGAUGGUGAGCCGUGCAUUGCAUGACGUGCUGUUCCUAUCAGAAUAAAUCUCCAUGACUGGUGUUAUAAGUUGGAGUUCGUGUCGAUGAUUGAUUGUACACAACGCAAGAAGAGUACUGUUACAUAAUGAUGAUGAGACAAGUCCGGAUUGCGUUUGCCAGCAGUGGGUUCGGCAGCAGCUAGAAGGCCGGCGAUGUCGAAUGCCUGAGCUGGACAGGAGGGAGUGCCAAAGUGAAGGCUGGUGUGACAAUCGGUGUGCAUCAUUUGAUUUUGACCGAUUUAUUUUGGUUAUCACUUUGGACCUUAGUGGGGGAGCUGAGGCUGUAUCGCGGUGUGAUGACCAAUCAAGGCUCGCUAUAGCUUUCAGUCGCAUUGGAUUGGGUGGUGAUGCUAAAUUUGAGGUUACACCAACAUAAAAACCACCGUAAUCUGUGAGGUGUAAGGCUAGUUGAGAGCUCCAUGAACACGGUUAUGCCUAAGAUUUUUAGAAGCAUUAGACUAGAACCUUGAUACUGUUUGACAUCUAAGUUUGAACAUUAGUCAUGAAGGUUAGGCUAUUUAGAUUUUUUCAAAACGUGAUGUCGUUUUCUUGGGAUUUGGCUCAAUCUUCCCCCCUCUCCCCUGUAAUUAUUCUUUCCUCAGGUUGUUGCUGUAAAUGAGAAUGUGUUCUCAGUCAACUUACAUGUUAAAAUAAGGGUAAAAAAAAUAGAUUAUAUAUUACCUAGCAUGCUGUUGGCAAUCAGCUGUGGGCGAUCAGCUGUUCAUUGCCUCCAUCGGAACGUUCUGUUAGAGUUUAUUUCAGACACUCUGAAGGCUUAUUCUAGUAAUCUAUGGGGUCUAUUUAUCUUGUUAUCAGGUCCUUUAUCUUGUCUCAUGGCUUACCAGCAUAUACUGUUAGACAUAAGCUUCAGCUCAGGUAGACUUUAUUGUAGGUCUAGGUUUUAGAUGAUCAUGUCACUCUCACCGUGCACGCUGUGCAUGCUGCAGAUGUUCAGCUACUGCUGAGCAGUAUCAGUAGUGACAUUACGCUUUGGAUAGCACAGGUGGUUAUAUGUAGCUACCGUUUUAGUUGGAGGCGUUACCAUGCACGCCUCCAAUUCAAUUAUCAACUUUGCAGAUGACGCAACAGUAGUGGGCUUGAUUACCAACAACGACGACAGCCUGUAGGGAGGAGGUGAGGGCACCCGGAGUAU